rnacentral:lncRNA from 1 species
UAUGCUAUGUACAUAUUCUUAUAUAUUCAACCAAUAAGGUAGCUAUAAUGAAUAUAAUCAUUCGUUUUUAGUUCGUAGAACUAUUCUAAACUCUUCUAAAUCAACGAAGACUGGAAAAAUAUUAUAGAGAUUGGAAUCUCUAAUUAACUUUUGUGUAGCAAACUUAUAAUAAUUCCAAGGUAAUGAAACUGAUUCAUGGCAAACUUGCUUUGUCAUUUUAGAAUCCGGUGCACGAAGGUUAUGGUUUAUUAUGGUCACGUUAAAGUAGCGAAUGUAAGAAAUAAGUCUUUAAAAUUCUAGGUCAGAGUUGCACUCGUGCGAAGCGUUGCACUCAAAACUGGAGUGUAAAAUGUCCAUGGAAGAAUGAGCUGCUCUUGUGUCGCACUAUGUAGGCGACACUAUUUCGCUCACUAAGUUCAGAUAUCGUUUUUCACCGUGUAUAUCUCACGGACAGUGCUGCAAUGUUGCCAUCUUAAUGCUGACACGUCGUCUUUCAAGGCUCAAGAGCUCUGAUUACUCUUUCUCUGAUCGCUCUCAAGUUUGAUAUACAUAUACAAUGUAUAUACUAUAAAUCGUUGCUAUAAAUCCUACUAUAACUUUAUGAGGCGUAAAAGACAAAUCCAGAUGUCAGAUAUGAGAAGAAUGGAAAACGGGUUUUAGCUUACAAGGAACUUAAUCGAGACAACGUUGUUCCGAAACGUGUUAGAUCGGCCACCGGGAAAAGAUUAAAAGCAACAAUUUGAAUAAGAAGCUUAACACGGCCGACACAAUAGUAAUUCCGCGCAAUUUACAUACUUAAGCGCCGGCUGAAACAGGUCACCGCGUCAUUACGUAAAUACUCCGGAGAAAGAGGGCGUUUCACGCGGAAAUAGUGAAUAAUUUUCACUCAAUAAUAAUCCAUGACAUCAAAAUCAUUCCGCCUUUGCAUCUAAUCUAUCUUAACAUUCGUUAAGAUGAUCCUCUCUGAUGGCAAGAUCACCAAGGACUGCUAUUCAACAAACAGGAAACAAAGAAGAAAGAGACAAAUGGUCUAAUAGCGAAUAGAAGCGUGUAUCGGGGGAAGUUUACCUUGAUUUGGGGAGAGUGCACGUCAUAGGGUCGAGGCUACGAUAUAACUACGUCAGGAUUCGUAAACUGGGUCAUUGGGGCAUUCGAGUGCAUUUAUAUGCAUAUGCAUAGAGUAUGACCUAGAUUCGGAACGGGUGCGCGCGACCGUGCUCGCCCUUCGCCUGAAAGCGUUGUGUGCGUCCGUCAAAGAAGCUCGUCGAAAAAUACGAGCCAGGUUCCGUGAAUGUAUGUCGAUACCAUCGGGACUUCCGAGUGAGACAGAGCGGGAGAGUCAAGCGGCGGUUGCUACUGUGCAUCAUCAUCCCUCUAUGUCUGUAUUCUCCAACCAUUUUUUGAAUUGCGACCUCCUUUUGUGAUGUUCGAAUAAUUUGCAACCUCCUAUUUUCUUUAUUAAGAGAAAUUUAAAAACUUAAAAUUUUACAUGACUUUAUUAUAGCAAAAUGAUUAGUGAUACUGUUUUUUUUUUUUUUUUUUGAAAUUAAAUAACGAGAACUGUUAAUCUGAUACUGCUAUAUAAUAUGAUUAUGCAAUUGUAUUAAAAUAAAUAAUCAUUGAAAGUCAUUAAAUGAAAAUGAGCAGCAGUAAUUACAUCCUACAAAUUAUCUUGCAAGUCACGAUUCACGUUAAGAAAUAUUAUUUUAUGAGAACAAUUUAAUGAUUUUAAAAUAUUAUACUAG